rnacentral:rRNA from 1 species
GAUGAACGCUGGCGGCGUGCCUAAUACAUGCAAGUCGAGCGAACUGAUUAGAAGCUUGCUUCUAUGACGUUAGCGGCGGACGGGUGAGUAACACGUGGGCAACCUGCCUGUAAGACUGGGAUAACUUCGGGAAACCGAAGCUAAUACCGGAUAGGAUCUUCUCCUUCAUGGGAGAUGAUUGAAAGAUGGUUUCGGCUAUCACUUACAGAUGGGCCCGCGGUGCAUUAGCUAGUUGGUGAGGUAACGGCUCACCAAGGCAACGAUGCAUAGCCGACCGGAGAGGGGGAUCGGCCACGCUGGGACUGAGACACGGCCCAGACUCCUACGGGAGGCAGCAGUAGGGAAUCUUCCGCAAUGGACGAAAGUCUGACGGAGCAACGCCGCGUGAGUGAUGAAGGCUUUCGGGUCGUAAAACUCUGUUGUUAGGGAAGAACAAGUACAAGAGUAACUGCUUGUACCUUGACGGUACCUAACCAGAAAGCCACGGCUAACUCCGUGCCAGCAGCCGCCGUAAGAC